CGUGGUAAUUUUGGAGAAUUUCUGUCGAAAAUCGGGGCAACGGAUGAUCCUAGCUGCUUCUGUGGAAAAGAAAACCAAGACUCAAUACAUUUAUUAUUAGAAUGUCCUAUAUUUCACAGCUACCGAAGUAAUCAUUUUUAUCCCAUUGAAGAAAUUUGCGAAUUUGUAUAUAACAAAGACACUUAUGUAAAAUUGAAUAAUUUUUGUAAGUUCAUUUUGGAUUUUCUCUUCUGUUUGAGAAAACCAUCGUUUUAGUUUUAAUUGUGUUUUUAGUCGGUUAUUGAGUUGUAUAUAAUGGAUUGUAUAUAGGUUGCUAAAAUAAUCCAUUUUAGAUUUUCUCUUCUGUUUUAGAAUACCAUCGUUUAAGUUUCAAUUAUGUUUUUAGUCCGGUUAUUAAAUUGUAUAAAAUGUAUUGUAUAUAAUCUACUAAAAUGUAUUUAGGCGCAAGUAUCUCGAGCUAGGCGUCCGAUAUGUCAUAUAAAAUAAAAAUGUAUAUUCGUUUUAAUCAAGCAAUAAAUUACUCUUCAUGUUUCACCUUUCCAUACCUCAUCCUCAAAGUUAGAAAUGUCGCUAUUUCUCUUUGAAAAUAAAUUUCGAUUUUUAUAAAAGAAACAUUCGCGGUAUAAUUUCAAUUUUCGUUUUACAAUCAUCAGCCGCGUUAUAUUGUAUUUUAAAUGUUACUUUAAAUAAAUUAAUGCAUUUAAAUUUUCUCUCAAGUAAAGUUAAUUACAGUUUAAUAUGGCGUUUCCUAUAGCUUUUUUUUAUAAAAAUAAAAUUAUAUUAUUUUUAAUUAUCUUACAAAUAAUAUAUGUUUUACUUUUUCAUUGAUUAUGUAAUAUAUUUCGACGCAGGACGUGUAUUAUAUUAUUAUUAUUAUUUUACACACACCACUUUGGAUGUUUGCGCAAUGAGAUAUCAAAGACCUGAAGGUAUAAUGUCUGUGAAAAAAAAAAGAACAUCAAUAAAAACCAUGAAGAACAAUGUUUUAUUUUAAGAACAAAGGAUGGCUUUUAAUUUUUAAAUAACAUUUUGUAUUUAGAUAUAUAAUCUUUUGCAUUUAAUCAUGCAUCUAACGCAUUUCUUCUUUUUUUUUUGCUUAUCCCUAGUACACGUGGUACAGGCCAUGAUAAUCAUGGUGGGUAGUUAGCGACUGCUUUUUUUUUUUUUUACUGUAAGCGCACCACAUGUCUACACAUGUGAAAGCAGAUCGACUUUGCACUUACAAAUGUGCCAGAGCCCCGUUUGGUUACUUGCACUCGCUGGUGGGGUUGGACUUUUGCAAGAAUCGGGGGGCCAUUGGAGCAUUUUUUUUUUUUUUUUAACAGAAAAAAGUGUCCAAUGCGGGAAUCGAACCCGGGUCGUAGUGGUCGUAAACCAAACGGUUUAACCAGCCUUCCUCCGACCCCCCACGCAUUUCUUACUUUUAUAACGUUUAUAUAUACGGAUAUAUACGUUUUUUUUUUUUUUUAAGAAAAAAAAACGCAUUUCUUACUUUUAUAAUGUGUUACGUAUAAAAAGCCAAUAAAUGUGGUAUAAGGGAAAAGGAUCCUGAGAAUCUUGUCGACUCUCUAUAUUAAAGUGCUUUGUCCUGAGAAUCCUCGGGAGUGGAUGGGGUUUUGUAUGUUUGGGCAGUCGUUAUCAAUGGCGGUGGAUGAAAAAAUCGGCACACUAUAUCGAUUAAUGAAUCACAAAACACCUCGGAAUAUUAAUCAUUGGCGGCUCGGGAGAGGAGAUGGAAGGAUUUUCGCGAUUAAAUUGGAUUGAGAUGACUCACAUCUUGGACCUCGAGGCACUACUUUUAGAAGAUGCACACACACGUCUUGACACACACGUUACCGACCGAACUCUGGUUGCCCCGCCCCCUGGCUUGGGUCAUGUGGGACCCUGCUUGACCUUUGAUUGGUCCCUGUCUCUGUCGGCCAUGAUGGUAAAUUUGGUCGGGAAGAAGCUUUGCCUAACAUCCCAAUCUCUCAGGACAUUCAACUCUGGAAUAUGAGGGCCUCUUUGUUCUAAGUGACCUAGAUACACGACUUGGAUCUGUCGUUCUUUUCUCUUCUACUUCUUCCAUCUCCUCUUCCUUUGACUGCCAUCUUUAUUUGAAUCCAUACAGAAUACAUUAUAUCCAACAUGGUACAUAAUUAUUUAUUAGACAAUAUUCUUUAUAAUAUUACAGAUGCGCCCCCUAUGAAUAAGAAUUUUAAAAGGGAUCUGUAUUAAAUUCUGAAAAAAGAAAAAUAAUUUUUUUGGGAAAGAAAAAAAAUUAAAAAAUUUUUUAAAAUAGUGAGUGGUUAGAUACAAUUGGGGAGAAAGUAAAUGAUGGAAAUAAGUAAUAAAAAGAAAUUUGAGUAGAUAGGGGUGCUUGCUAAACUAGGAAAAAAUAUGAUAAUUUUUGGGAGGAAAAAAAAAAAAAUCUUGCCUGCAUAGGUGUUCAAUCUUGCUGUGUGGAAACCCACAGCAAGGGAAACUCUAUGAGGUGCAAUCCAAACAAAACAUAUAAGACAUUAACAGAAAUAAAAAGAAAACUAUAGACAAUAAAUUUUGGUGAUGGAGGGAAAAAAAGAAAAAGAAAUCUGAUUAGCCUUUGGGGCGGUGAAAAAAUAUAAACAAAACAUAAAAAAAAGAAAUCAAAGCUCCUGUAUGAUAACUGAAGGCUGAUACAUGAGAAGUAUUGCGCCAGGUCAGUUGUUCAUUCAGUUAGGACAAAACAAGGUUUAAACAAUAAAAGGAAAAAAAAUAAACUUGAGGUGAUUAAGAAAUUGAAAGGGUGAUAGACAUGGAUGGUGGGAAUAAAAAAAAUAAAAAUAAAAAAAAUAAAAGUGCUGGUUGUGUACAAGUCCUUUAAAAUUGGUUAACAAAAAUAUACACAAAAGAAGAAUAUUUUUUUUUUUUACAUAACAAUGUCCAAUCUUUGUUUAUUAUAGGGUCGUAGGUCAUAAGGUUGCCAAAACUAUAUAGGUGGGUGAAUGUAUGCGAGUGUGUGUGAGUGUAUGUUCCAGAAAGUAACUUUAAGUGUGUUGACACGCGAAAAGUGACGGCGGGUUUGUUUACAUUCCGCAGGGAGGAUGUGACGUCGGUCACGUGAUCGGAAAGGACGUGACGUCGGCGCGGCGGAAGGUUUCUGUAAAGUGGACGCCAGCUGACAGCGGGGUGAUCGACGAGUGUGUGUAAAGGUGGGGAGAUUGCUAUUCGACUUGGCGCGCUCUAAAGAGGGUUUGGAAAAUCUCUCCUAUGAUUUCACCUAUUAGAGCGACCAAGGCAUGACUGUGGACAAGGAUGGUCCAUAACUCCGGGAGAAUUAUUCCUAUGGUUCGAUGGAUUAGUUCCACUACGGCGAUGGUUAUUUCGAAUAGGGCUUCCUGUAGUUGGAAGAGACGGUUGGGCUGCAGUGUAUAGACACUGACAUACAGUAGGGUGGCCAUGGGUAAUAGUACAGUGGGUAGGAUGAAAAGGUUGAUGAGGUAUAGGAGGUGGAACAAGGGGAAGGUUUUCACGUUACGCAAAAACCUUGUCUGUAAGGGAAUUGGUUUGGGAUCAGCCCUAACUGUAGGGAUUGGGGUUUUAACUUUGGUUAUAUGGGUUGGACGGGAUAUUGCAGGUUGGGGAAUAUCGCGUUGGGCGAUAAUGUUACAUUGUGGGUCAACAGGGGUGGUAGUGGUACAAUUGCCUAUUGUAGGAGCAAAGCGCUCAACUGUAAAGAGGUCUGGGGUGAGGUGCUCGAACAGUGGUGGUAGCGUCCUAGAUUGGGGUUUAGCAGGGUGUGGUAUCAGAGUGGGAGGUGCGAUAUAACGAAUAUUUUCGUUAUAGUACUGUAAUUUAUUUACAUGGACUGUGUCGGUAUUCCGAUUUAGAGGUUGGUUGGGUCGGUUUAUUCUCACCACGUUGGGAGAGAUGAUCUCUAAGAUCUCGUAGGGACCCGUGAAAUACGGAGCCAGUUUGCCUGUAUUGGGGUGAUGGUAAACUUUUACCAACACGAGAUCUCCGGGUUCAAAAUGGGGUGUCUUAUGUUGUUGGUCGUAGGCAUGUUUGUCUUUGAGGUGCUUGGCCUGGGUACGUUCAUGGGCUAUCCGUCGGGCUGUGGUUAAAACGGGGUAGGGGUUUACAUGCUCAGUGAGCUCGGGAGGUAGAACGCCGAACAUCAGGUAGCCAGGUGGGAACCCGGUAACUGAGUGGGGCGUGUUGUUAUACACCACAGUAACGCGCUUCGCCAGCUUAGUCCAUGCGGCUUUGGGGUUUUCCAAAUGGAGUAACCUUAGUUUGCCUGUUAAGGUAGCGUUCAGGCGCUCGCAUAGACCAUUAGCUUGGGGGUUGUUACUGGUGGUGAGCAGGGGAUGGAUGUUCCUGUUAAUCAGGAACUUCCUGAACUUUGAUGAGGUGAACGCAGGCGCUCUAUCCGUGAGUAGGCGUUUCGGAGAGCCGUCCUGCAACACUCGCUUUAUCACCUGUUGAUAGGUGGUGAGGCUGGUAGAUUUUGAGGGGAAGGUCCACGUGUAGCGCGAAAAGUGAUCCACCACAACGUGGAGGUAAGCUUUGGCGUUACCAUAUUUGGCAAGUCCAGCUAUGGUGUCGAGGGCGACCAGAUCAAAAGGCUGAGUGGCCACAGGAAGUUGUCCUAGUUCCCCAAACGUGGGACCUCGAGGGGGUUUUGUUGACUGACAGAUGGCGCAGGCUUUGGUGGUUUUGGAGAUGUCUUCUCACAUCCCCUUCCAGUAGUACUGGGUAGAGAUGAGCCUGGUCAUCUGGGAUAUGCCCGGGUGGUUGUACCGACUGUGCACCUUUGUUAGUAGGUCGGGAACGAGGGCGUCAGGGACGACAAUUUUGGUUACACCUCUACGCUUUAGGGUUUGCAGUCCGUUUCGAUCAAUGGUCAGUUUAGAUUCUCCCGAAGGAGUGAGUUGGUGGUUCUUAAUGAUGGUGGCGUCUAAGAAUCCACAAAACGGGUUACGGGAUAGGAGGUCCGCUUCAUGUUGUAGUGAUCCUUUUAUGUAGCGGACUUCGUAUUCGUAACACGAUAACCUCAAACUCCAUCGGAAUAAUCUGCCUGACGGGUUUUUGAUCGUCUUCAGCCACUGCAGUGCGUGAUGGUCAGAAAAUAUGGUGAAUUUUCUGCCCAUUAGAUACACACGGAACUUCUCCACGCUCUCGACAAUGGCGAGGCAUUCUAGUUCGGAGAUGGUGUAGUUCCGCUCGUGUACACGCAGAGCGCGGCUGAAAUAUUGGACUGGGUAGGCCUUCCCAGCGGAGUGGACUUGUUUGAGGACGCCUGCAAUGCCAAGUGUUGAUGCAUCGCAAUAUACCUGGCAUGGUAGUUCAUCCUUGUAGAGGUGCAAUACGGGGUGUUGUGUGAGGCUUUCCUUCAGGCUGGUGAACGCCUUUUGGCAUUUGUCAUCCCAGUCCCACGUCACAUCCUUCUUGAGAAGGUUGUUGAGUGGGGUCCGCAAACGGGCAUAGUCCGGGAUGAACUUAUUAUAGACGUUCACGGCGCCUAAGAAGGAUUGCAGCGUUUUGCGAUUGUUCGGGGGUGGGAUAGCGUGGAUUACGUCGGUAUUGCGGAUAAGUGGGGUGGUGGUACCAGCGGUGAUUGUGUACCCCAGAAAUUCGAUGGUCUGCCUAAAAAACUCGCAUUUGGUGAGGUUGAGUUGCAAGUUCUCCGCGUCGCAGAACGCGAAAAACCUGCGCAGGUGUUCUUGGUGUUCCUCCAGUGUCUCCGAAUAUAUGACAAAGUCGUCAAAAUAGUGCGCCACACAAUCAAGUCCGUGCCCCUGCAGGACCUGAUUGAUUGCCCUUUCAUAGAUCUGUGGACUGGUCUUAAGUCCGAAAGGCAAUCGGGUGGGCUGAUACAACCCGUCUAUCGUGGCGAAGGCCAACAGUGGUCGAGAAUCAGGGUGUAUCGGCACUUGCCAAUAUGCGGAGGAGACGUCGGCAGUCGAGAAAUACUUGGCCCGCGCGAGACGGUCCAGUAUAUCUUCGAUCCUCGGGAGUGGAUGGACAUCGGAGCUUAUGACCUCGUUCACCUUCCUAUAGUCGAUACAAAACCUUUUGGUCUUGUCUCGCUUGGUCACUAGGGUGACCGGGCUAGAGAAAGGGGAGUAGGACGGCUCAAUGAUGUCAUUAUCCAACAUCUGUCGGAUCUGACUGCGUAUUUCCCGUUGGUCGCAUAUCGGUACCCUAUAUGGGCGGAUGGUGACGACUUUGUCGGAGUUGGUGGCGAUUCUUACUGGGGGAACCUUUAGGCAUGGGACCGCGAAUUUGUUCCGGGAGAACACGUGUUGGUAUUGGCGCAAUAGCGCCGGGAAUUGAGGUGGAUACGGUGGCUGCGGUUGAUUGUCUAUGGGGAUCCCUGGGAGGUGUUCUGGUGAUGUUGGGUGGUGUGUGUGGUACAUGGAAUGGUGUGUGGAAUGGGGAUGUUUGGGUGUAUGGUGAAGGUGGUCCGUUUGGACCUUGGUGGGGUGUGAGAGGUUGGCAUUGGGUGGUUGUUCUGGUACCUUGACCCUAUAAUAAGAGCAGUUGGCUCUAAAAAAGUUCUUUGAUUGGACAUGGUGCGGUGGUUGGGUGAGUCCCUGGGUUGUGGACGUGUUGUCCGAAAAAGGCGCAUAUUGGGUAUUGUUGGCGGAAGGCGGAAAAAUAGUGUGGGCCUUGCAUAGGUCCGCCUGGCAUUCCCAAUAUGUGCACCUUUCGGGCAACACAGCAAAGUGGUAGGUCAGGGGCGACAAAGGUGCAUCGAGUUGGUACAUAGUGCCAUGUGCAAAAUCGAUUUUUAAUUUGAAUUUACGGAGGGUAUUAAUACCAAGUAUUCCAAAUGGUAGAGGGGCGUCCACCACGUGGAAUACUUCGUUUUGGGUUAUGGCAUGAAUGGAUAGGGGGAAGGUAAUCUGGCCUAUUGUUGGCACGUGGCCAUCUAUUGUCUGUAAAUUUAUUAUUUUUUUAGUUAUUAAAUUUAGGUCAGGGAAAUUAUUCUUUAAAUUUUUAUAUAUGGCACAUGACACUAGGUUAACGGACGCACCCGUGUCUAUCAGGAAUGGUAGGGACAGUCCAUGGGAGAUUGGCAAUCUAAUUGUCAGGUUGACGAAAGGCCUGGUCAGUAGGCCUACCUGCUGGCUGCUGGUCUGGGGCUCCCUUGGUUAUCCCAGUGGCUUGUGCGCGUGACGCUUGGUGAUGGGGCUGGGCUCGCGGCCGUUGUUCCGCUAGUUGCGCGGAGCGCGCUGCUCGUGCGUCUCCGGAGGCACGGGGCAACUGCGGGGCUUGUCUGAGACGACACUCAGAGUGCCAGUGUAGUCCACCACAAAAACGGCAGUCUGUUGGCGGGGUCGACCUGGUUGGCACUGUUCUUGGACUAGGUCGCACCGGUGCGUAGGGGCCCAGUAGGGGUGGUGCGUGCUCGUCUGGGUGCCUUGGAGAUGGUGCGCCGCUGCCGCGGAUCCGCUGCACCAGCCGGAACCAUGCACCUAGGUUCUCUGGCGGCACAAUGCGGACGAGGCGCUGGUCGGAGGGUGGCAGCCCCUCGGUGAGCGUCUCCAAGAUGACCUCUUGUGGGAGGCCCAGUUGUAGACCCAGCGCGGUCUUAUUCCGAUAGUAUUCUUCCAGGUUGGGCUGUCCGGCCAGCUUCAUGGAGAAGUAUUGGGCAUACGUGGCCUCAUUGGUCUCCGGAUAGAGAUCCAGGAAGGUCUGUCUCACCUGGAUGUAAUGUUGGGUCUCCAUCCGAAGCCUCCUGAAGUGUUCUAGCGGUUUGUUGUUCAGGUAACGGGGUAGGCGGAGCACUUUUUCCGUGUUGGUGAGACCAUCCCAGUCUGUUUUCUGGUCAUAUGUCCGAAAGAACUGUGCGGCUGGGUAGGUCCCGUCGAAGCUCUGGACUUCUAUCUCCGUCCGAUGGGUCACGCGGUCGCUGGUGGUCUGAAGGGCAGAUAAACACGCCGCGAGGCGUGCCAAGACGGCCGGCAACUCUGCCGACGGAGGGGGGGGUUCUAUUUUGGGAGAACUUACGGCGGGGUUGUUUUCUCCCUCUGCGGUGUAUUCCUCCGCGUCUUGCGUUUCGUUUUUCUCGUCCAUCCUGUCGACUCUCUGUGGUAUAAGGGAAAAGGAUCCUGAGAAUCUUGUCGACUCUCUAUAUUAAAGUGCUUUGUCCUGAGAAUCCUCGGGAGUGGAUGGGGUUUUGUAUGUUUGGGCAGUCGUUAUCAAUGGCGGUGGAUGAAAAAAUCGGCACACUAUAUCGAUUAAUGAAUCACAAAACACCUCGGAAUAUUAAUCAUUGGCGGCUCGGGAGAGGAGAUGGAAGGAUUUUCGCGAUUAAAUUGGAUUGAGAUGACUCACAUCUUGGACCUCGAGGCACUACUUUUAGAAGAUGCACACACACGUCUUGACACACACGUUACCGACCGAACUCUGGUUGCCCCGCCCCCUGGCUUGGGUCAUGUGGGACCCUGCUUGACCUUUGAUUGGUCCCUGUCUCUGUCGGCCAUGAUGGUAAAUUUGGUCGGGAAGAAGCUUUGCCUAACAUCCCAAUCUCUCAGGACAUUCAACUCUGGAAUAUGAGGGCCUCUUUGUUCUAAGUGACCUAGAUACACGACUUGGAUCUGUCGUUCUUUUCUCUUCUACUUCUUCCAUCUCCUCUUCCUUUGACUGCCAUCUUUAUUUGAAUCCAUACAGAAUACAUUAUAUCCAACAUGGUACAUAAUUAUUUAUUAGACAAUAUUCUUUAUAAUAUUACAUAAAUAUAUUUUAUAUCGAAAUGCUCCAAUUCCUCAAUCAAAAAUUAACAACAAGGGGCCUUUCAACAAAUGAAAAACAUCCACAAAGGUAUUGAAGGAAAUGAACGUAUUGACCAGGUUACCAAAAUGGCUGAUAAAUACGACAUCUCUCUAUAUUUUACAGAGCUUACAAAGAAAUUGGAGAAUAAAACGUAGUAUAUAUGUCGCAAAGUAUGUAUUAUUUUAUUAACAGAGUAGCAUUUUUGAUGUUUAUACUUUACUACUCUGUAAACUUCCCUCUUUGCUUAUCUUUUGUUUAUCACUCAUAAUUUGUUCUUACCUGAAAUAAAUUGCUGUCUCAUCCCGAAGUUGGUCUUCCCUAUUUUUUUCCACGUGGCAAUAUAAUUUGCCAACUAAGAGCCAAAAAGUACACCAAUGACCAGUCAAACCGAUAUCUGAGAAAAUGUUCACCCACUCCUGGCCAUCUUAAGAAGAACCUCAGGAAAAUACACACCUAGAAAUAUCAACCACAACUCUUUUAUCACGGAUGUGUUCAAGCCGAUAUGGCCACAAGAAAGAAAAAAAAGUCCUGAUACAGCCUGUCUACAAUGUCAAGAAGAAGAGCAAACCAUGUCCUCUAUAACUACCCAGCAGUCGAAUGGGCUAAUGUACGAGUGAAAUAUGUUUAAUUUUAAAAUAAUUGAGUAUAUAAAGAAACAAGGGUCGCCUCUCCCGUCAAAAUAAACGUUUAAAACCAGACGCCAUCUAUUUUGAAGGGAGAGGCAACCCUUGUUUCUUUAGAACAAUUUCCUCCCGACAAAAUUUCCAUCUAUAUUUUAGCCAUAGAUAUGACCCAGCCACUUUGCCAGCUAAACACCUCUUUGGCAGAUUUGUCAAGAUUCCAUUAGAUCCCGUGUGGAUCUUAUGGAAUAAAGUCCGCCCUAGACUGACGAGGGCCAUUAGCCCGAAACCAUGGUCUCUAGGUGGACGCUUUUCAGUUUGCCAAAGCUGGUGUUAUGGCUUUGUCACCGACCCGAGGCCGCUAGUUGCGGCGACGGUCAAUAGAUGGCGUCUGAUUUUAGACGUGUAUUUUGACGGGAGAGGCGACCCUUGUUUCUUUAAAUCAAUUUCCCCCCCGACAAAAUUUCCAUCUAUAAUUGAGUAUAUAUAUAUAAAUUAGCUAUACAUUGCGAGUAUGAGGUACAUAUAAAAUUCAGUCUAAAGUAUAUGAAAAUGGCUUAGGUACUUAAACAGUAAAUGCAAAUUAUAUAAAUAGUGAAAAUAGAGUAAAAAGGCAGUAAACACAAAAGGUAUGUGUGUAAAUUAAAAGUAUGUACGAUGUAUAUUCGCUUAGUACAAAACAUAUGAAGUCAUAAAUAUAUAUCCAAGUUAUCACAGAGUAAAUAUAUAGCGAAUGAUGUAAAUUACAUAUACUCCUAAAAUUAAUAAAUUAUUUAUUAUAAAUGCAUAUUACAGUGAGAUAAGUAUAAAAAAAACAAUACAGUAAGCACAAGGCUCAUAUACAGUGAGUUUAAAAUAUAAAUACGAUAAUAAAAAAAGAAAGAAUAUAUGAACAUACACAUAAAGUACACAGAGAAGAAUAUGCAAUAUGUACACACUCUUAAAAUUUAUAAAUUAUUUAUUGUUCUGAAAAUAGAGCUAUUCAUAUUUAAAUCUUUAUUAUCUAAAAAUUGAUUAUUAUAAGUUGCAUAUUACAGUGGUAUACGUAAAAAAAAACAUAAGUAUAUAUACAAUCAAUUGGCACAAUACGCGGGUAGAGAGAGAGAGUAAACCAAAUAUACAUAUUCAAUAUUCACAAAUUACAUAUAAGGUGAUUAUACACAGGUAAACAUAAAGACUAUAUUGCUGCAGGUUCGAUGCGAAAAGAUUUUUUCACUAUUUUUAAUUAUUAAUUUUGAUUUUAAUAAAUGUGUUUUUUGUUAAUUUAAAAAUAUUUUCAAAAUAUACAUUUUGAGUAACAUAUAGGUAACUUCCUGGAUCUUAUCCGUUGAUUAUAUUUUGACAUAGUUUAUUAAUAUUGUAUAUAUGUGAAAAAAAAAUAUGUAGAAAAUAUAUUGCCACGUGGAAAAUUAGGAAAGACCAACUUCGGGAUGAGACAACAAUUUAUUUAAGAAAAGAACAAACUAUGAGUGAUAAACAAAAGAUAAGCAAAGGAGGGAAAUGUACAGAGUAGCAAAAUAUAAACAUAAAAAAUAAUACUCUGCUAAUAAAAUAAUAAAUACUUUGUUACAAUAUAUAUUGAUAAAGACAGGCGCUCAGCAUGUCGUAAUAUAAAAAAAAAAAGAAUUAGAUUUU